CGUUGGGGUCGCGCGGCGCGGCGGAUGGCGAGGCGUGAGGCGGCCCGGCCCGGAGCGAGAAGGCCGGGCCGUGGUCUCGUUGCUUCGCCUCGAGUAAUCUCCACAAACUAGAUGGCAGGAGAGCGCAAAUUUUGUGUGAAAACCUCAACCCAGGUGGUCUUGUGAGUAACGAAAGUAAAGAAAAUCGAGACAUAUUCAGAAUUUAACAAGAGCAGUUUUAGCCUGGAAGAACUGCUUAGAGUUACAGGAGCCCUAUCCACCAAGGGACAGCAUGGCUAUAUAUGCAGAAGGUACUGAUAUUAGAUGUUCUGGGAACUGCCCCUAGGACUUCAUACAACAGCAUGCCAGUUUUGACAACUGAUUUACAACCCCACCUGGGGAAGACUGAGAAAGUAAAAUGAAGUCCAGAAAGCAAAACCAUUUUCAGACUGAUUCACUGGAGAAAUACUUAAGUGCUCUGUUAAAAGAGCCUUGUUUUUUCUAGAUGAAACCAUGGUAUUCUAUCCACUUCAGUCUUUGGUAACAAAGACCAACUUUUCUCUGUGUUCCUUCAUGUCAUAAUUGUCGUCAGUAGAAGUGAUCCGCCAGGUAUCAAGGCAUGUUGCUGGUCACAUUCAUCCAUCCACAACACAUCUGAACCCAGACUGAUGUUGAUAUAAGGGCAUUUGUUAGGAAUGCUGGAAAAUUUUAAUGGCACGGAAUACUCAUGGUUUGGGUAUUAAUAUGAUGACGUAAACUGAUAUAUUUGCAGUCAAUGCAGAUGAUAGUUUAAUGGGACUUCUUACCAUAGCUUCUGGUGUGUUUUUUGAGAGAAAGCCCUUCUAAAGUGGGGUGUGUUUUUUUUAUAUCUUGUUUAAAUUUGAGUGUUUGGCCAGAGGCAUGCAUGUUAACAGUAGUGAGAUAGCUAGUUGUGGCCAUGCUGACCUUUUUUUUUUUUUUUCCCCAAAAGAUCUGGGAACUAUUAAAAAGACAAUAAUGGCACAAGAAUAAAUAGAAAUACAUGUUCAAGAUGGGUGAUAUAAGAUGGUCUUCUCUGACAGAACACUGGACUGUGACAUUGAUGGCCCCUGACAGACAUUAGGCAGACAUUCUAAGCCUGACAAUGCAAAGAGUAGUAGUACGAUUUGUAUUUAAAUGACUUUUUAAUGUAAUGUUUGAACUUGCUAGGUUUUUACACCAAGCUGCAUGCACUUAUCCCUAUUUCACACCCUUCUUUGAAGUCCCAGGUCCACCUGUCAUGUAGCCGUUUCAUAAACUUGAAAUUCUAAAGGGAUGAUUAGUUAAGAAUUUGCCUAAAACAUUAUGCUGGAAAGACUUGUUUGUUCUGUGAUAUGUUUACUGUUUUGUAGGUAAGUAAUUUAGUUUUUAAAAAACAAUAUAAUUUUUAUUCAUUGCAAAUAAAUGAUUCUGUGUUA